UACGUAGGGGGCGAGCGUUGUCCGGAUUUAUUGGGCGUAAAGAGCUCGUAGGCGGUCUGUCGCGUCGGAUGUGAAAACCCAGGGCUCAACUCUGGGCCUGCAUUCGAUACGGGCAGACUAGAGUACGGCAGGGGAGACUGGAAUUCCUGGUGUAGCGGUGAAAUGCGCAGAUAUCAGGAGGAACACCGGUGGCGAAGGCGGGUCUCUGGGCCGUAACUGACGCUGAGGAGCGAAAGCGUGGGGAGCAAACAGG
rnacentral:rRNA from 1 species